CGAUUCCUCCACAGCACUGCCUACACGCUGUGAUUCUGUCUUUAUCCUCCCAAACUCAUUCUUAUCAUCGCUGCUCCUAAUCUGCGGAUCUCACCGUGAUUUGUUGUGGAUUGGAAGAAUUUAAUAGUCACCUUGCUCCUUUCUACCUAAUCGAAUCAAACAGUUGAGGUAAAACUCCACACUCACUUGCAUGCAACAUGAGAGCAUGCAAGAUACCAACCAUCAUCACAGUAAAAUAACCAAGGUGCAAACACAAUUCCAACAUGCGGAUUUGUGUUCACACUUACACCUCACCAACAUCACGGCCAGCUCCAUCUUGCCUUCAUCAAACAGAUAGCAGCUUCAAGCAAAUCCAGCACGGUGACAAUUCCAGCAUAUCAAGAACACAUCAAAAUCGGACAGCAAUUCCAAACUCAGCUUCACACGGACAGCAGCUUUACUCAGCACGGUGACAAUUCCAGCACAUCAGAAUUCCAGCACACACAGUAAUGGAUUGGAGCAAAGUACCUAAAAUAGAAUGAAAAGAAUUAAGAGAAGCAUAAAUGAGAUUGAUCGAUCCACCUUGUAGAGCAGGAGAUUUGAAACCAUAGUAUAGAUUGUUGAUUGCUAUGUUUGCACUUAUAUUUGACUUAACAACUCGAGAGUUGUAGAAAUGAGAUCCUCUCAUGCAAUACCUUAUCCUUUUGUCCUAAAAACUUUGAUUAUGUAUUUCACAAACUAUGUACAGCCAAGCAUGGUUGCAUGUGUUUAA